rnacentral:rRNA from 1 species
GAUGAACGCUGGCGGCGUGCCUAAUACAUGCGAGUCGAGCGAACAGAUAAGGAGCUUGCUCCUUUGACGUUAGCGGCGGACGGGUGAGUAACACGUGGAUAACCUACCUAUAAGACUGGGAUAACUUCGGGAAACCGGAGCUAAUACCGGAUAACAUAUUGAACCGCAUGGUUCAAUAGUGAAAGGCGGCUUUGCUGUCACUUAUAGAUGGAUCCGCGCCGUAUCAGCUAGUUGGUAAGGUAACGGCUUACCAAGGCAACGAUACGUAGCCGACCUGAGAGGGUGAUCGGCCACACUGGAACUGAGACACGGUCCAGACUCCUACGGGAGGCAGCAGUAGGGAAUCUUCCGCAAUGGGCGAAAGCCUGACGGAGCAACGCCGCGUGAGUGAUGAAGGUCUUCGGAUCGUAAAACUCUGUUAUCAGGGAAGAACAAAUGUGUAAGUAACUGUGCACAUCUUGACGGUACCUGAUCAGAAAGCCACGGCUAACUACGUG